AGGAGGAACAGCCCCAGUGGCAGCGGCCAGCUCUGGAAACCUGGAGUCAGCCCCUGCAGUAACUCCGGAGCGCUCAUGUGCAGGGCCUGGAGGCUCCGGGGCGGG
rnacentral:pre_miRNA from 1 species